rnacentral:rRNA from 1 species
UGGGGAAUAUUGGACAAUGGGCGAAAGCCUGAUCCAGCCAUGCCGCGUGUGUGAAGAAGGCCUUAUGGUUGUAAAGCACUUUAGCGAGGAGGAGGGGACUGGUAUUAAUACUACCAGCUACUGGACGUUACUCGCCGAAUAAGCACCGGCUAACUCUGUGCCAGCCGCCGCGGUAAUACAGAGGGUGCGAGCGUUCAUCGGAUUUACUGGGCGUAAAGCGUUCGUAGGCGGCUAAUUGAGUCGGAUGUGAAAUCCCCGAGCUUAACUUGGGAAUUGCAUUCGAUACUGGUUAGCUAGAGUGUGGGAGAGGAUGGUAGAAUUCCAGGUGUAGCGGUGAAAUGCGUAGAGAUCUGGAGGAAUACCGAUGGCGAAGGCAGCCAUCUGGCCUAACACUGACGCUGAGGUACGAAAGCAUGGGGAGCAAACAGG